rnacentral:sRNA from 1 species
GCUGGGUAUGGUGGCAUAUGCCUGUAAUCCCAGAGGCUCAGGAGGCUGAGGCAGGAGGAUCUCAAGUUCAAUGCCAGCCUCAGCAAUGGUGAGGUGCUAAGCAAUUCAGUGAGACCCUGUCUCUA